AGAGUUUGAUCCUGGCUCAGAGUGAACGCUGGCGGCGUGCUUAACACAUGCAAGUCGAACGAGAACGGGUUAUAGCUUGCUAUAACUGUCAGCUAAGUGGCGCACGGGUGAGUAAUAUAUAGUUAAUCUGCCCCAAAGAGAGGGAUAACAGUUGGAAACGACUGCUAACACCUUAUAUGCCUUUAAGACAAAAGUCUGCAAGGGAAACAUUUAUGGCUUUGGGAUGAGACUGUACGGUAUCAGUUAGUUGGUGAGGUAAUGGCUCACCAAGACUAUGACACCUAACUGGUUUGAGAGGAUGAUCAGUCACACUGGAACUGAGACACGGUCCAGACUCCUACGGGAGGCAGCAGUGGGGAAUAUUGCACAAUGGACGAAAGUCUGAUGCAGCAACGCCGCGUGGAGGAUGACACAUUUCGGUGCGUAAACUCCUUUUAUUAGGGAAGAUAAUGACGGUACCUAAUGAAUAAGCACCGGCUAACUCCGUGCCAGCAGCCGCGGUAAUACGGGGGGUGCAAGCGUUACUCGGAAUCACUGGGCGUAAAGAGCAUGUAGGCUGGUUUGUAAGUUGGAAGUGAAAUCCUAUGGCUUAACCAUAGAACUGCUUCCAAAACUGCAGACCUAGAGUAUGGGAGAGGUAGAUGGAAUUUCUGGUGUAGGGGUAAAAUCCGUAGAGAUCAGAAGGAAUACCGAUUGCGAAGGCGAUCUACUGGAACAUUACUGACGCUGAGAUGCGAAAGCGUGGGGAGCAAACAGGAUUAGAUACCCUGGUAGUCCACGCCCUAAACGAUGCACACUAGUUGUUGCCUUGCUCGACAAGGCAGUAAUGCAGUUAACACAUUAAGUGUGCCGCCUGGGGAGUACGGUCGCAAGAUUAAAACUCAAAGGAAUAGACGGGGACCCGCACAAGCGGUGGAGCAUGUGGUUUAAUUCGACGAUACGCGAAGAACCUUACCUGGACUUGACAUAGAAAGAAUUACGCAGAGAUGUAUAAGUGCUAGCUUGCUAGAGCUUUCAUACAGGUGCUGCAUGGUUGUCGUCAGCUCGUGCCGUGAGGUGUCGGGUUAAGUCCCAUAACGAGCGCAACCCCUACUCUUAGUUGCCAGCAUGUAAUGAUGGGGACUCUAGGAGAACUGCCUACGCAAGUAGAGAGGAAGGUGGGGAUGACGUCAAAUCAGCACGGCCCUUACGUCCAGGGCUACACACGUGCUACAAUGGCCGGUACAGAGGGCAGCCACCUGGUGACAGGGAGCGAAUCUCAAAAGCCGGUCUCAGUUCGGAUCGAAGUCUGCAACCCGACUUCGUGAAGCUGGAAUCGCUAGUAAUCGCGCAUCAGCCAUGGCGCGGUGAAUACGUUCCCGGGCCUUGUACACACCGCCCGUCAAGCCAUGGAAGCUGGGGGUACCUGAAGUCGGUGACCGUUAAGGAGCCGCCUAGGGUAAAACUGGUGACUGGGGCUAAGUCGUAACAAGGUAACC
rnacentral:rRNA from 1 species